AACAAGCCAACAACAAUACUUAUUGUAGCACUGACUUUUUGAAGGCAAAUGGCCCCACAGCCAUGCUUGAGGUAUUGGAUAUUUUUCUCCAUGCUGCAAAAGCUGCAACUCCUGAGAUCCCAAUAUGGAGMGUGGCUAAUGUGGAACAUGUGAGGAAGGAGCUGCAGCCUCCCUCCCCCAGAGCAUGGUGUGGCUCAUCACUGCUCUCAGCUGUGGCUGACAGUAACCCAGCCCCACCUGUGGAACAUGCCCAGCCCAGCCUGGCACAGCUGGGAGUGAUUCAGACCAUUUGGGCUGUGAGAGAAGGAGGAACAAAGCACAAGGGGUGCACAGAGCAGCAGGAGGACAAGGACAAGUUUUGUUGUARGUUCUGCCUUUGAAAGGCUGGUGUAGAGCAGGAGGAGAGCUGUGAGAGUGCUACUUCAAAGUGCUGCUUCAAAGUGCUGCUUGGGCCACUCACAGUGAGGAAGAGGAAGGAGCAACCCCUGUUGWGAAUMCAAGYAUUCUGCACUGGGACCUGCAAGAGYAGCUGGAAGCCUCUGGGAAACAAGGAUUUCAGGAUGCUUGUCUGCAGUGUCUUAUUGCAGUUACUACUGAUGGGUAAUGAAACCAACUUGAAGAAGAGCUGUGAAAAUGUGCCCUGUGCCUUCCUUUGUGUCAGCAGCAGCUGGAGAGAUUUCAUCCCCAUUCAUGGAAGUGGCCUCAGGAAACUGGCUUCAUUGCUUGGGUUGUUUCUUUCCAAGGAACU